AUACGUAGGGGGCGAGCGUUGUCCGGAAUGAUUGGGCGUAAAGGGCGCGUAGGCGGCCCGGUAAGUCUGGAGUGAAAGUCCUGUUUUUGAGAUGGGAAUUGCUUUGGAUACUGUCGGGCUUGAGCGCAGGAGAGGGAAGUGGAAUUCCCAGUGUAGCGGUGAAAUGCGUAGAGAUUGGGAGGAACACCAGUGGCGAAGGCGACUUACUGGACUGUAACUGACGCUGAGGCGCGAAAGUGUGGGGAGCAAACAGGAUUAGAUACCCUGGUAGUCCACACUGUAAACGAUGAAUGCUAGGUGUAGGGGGUAUCGACCCCUUCUGUGCCGCAGUCAACACAAUAAGCAUUCCGCCUGGGGAGUACGGCCGCAAGGUUGAAACUCAAAGGAAUUGACGGGG
rnacentral:rRNA from 1 species